GAAUCGUACUUUAUUUAUUAAAUAAAAUACGUUCAUAUAUAACUUAUAUAUGUUAGUGAAAUUAUUCAACUUUUAUGUAUAAUACAUGUAACAUAAUAAUGAAAAACAUUUGUUAUAUUGUUUUAGCAACUCAAAGCAGUCCAAUGGUGGCAGCCAACAAUAUUAAUGAAGUUGCUUUAGAGAGGAUCAGUCAGUUAAACCCCUAUUAUAUGAUUUAAUAGUUUAGUAUUUAGUCAUUUACUACUAGCUUCUCUUACUGUGACGGAGACAUUUAAAGAGGAAACAGCUAGUGCAUAGCUUCACAAUAUAGAUAGUGAGGAAUUAAUGGGUAUGUUUAGUGAUGCAAAAGUAUGGUUUCCUAAUGCAACAAUUUGUUAUAUCUCUUGCAAACUAAGAUCAAAAAAGAAUAGGACUGUUGACUAUCUAGACACUACAGAUUUAAGUUUAAGAGAAAAGAUUGUUAAAUGGUCAAUUAAUGUAGCACGUAAAAA